GCAGGUUGUGAAGACCAUGGGAAAAGCACAGUAUCCGGGCUGGAGUGCACCAUUCCUCACGGCACAGUCCCUCACAGCUUCCCUUGGAUAGGGGUGGGAAUUCCUCGACCCCUUGGGCUUCAUGGGUGAGGCAAUGCCCCACCCUGCUUUGACUUGCACUUCCAUGGGCUGCACCCACUGUCCAACCAGUCCCAAUGAGAUGAACCAGGUACCUCAGUUGGAAAUGCAGAAAUCACCCGCCUUCUGCAUCGAUCUCGCUGGGAGCUACAGACCGGAGUUACUCUUCACCUGAAUGACUUAAGAAGAAAAAGUGGGCAAAAUAACUGGCACACAUUAAUGUAACUACAUAUUCACAAAAUAUAAUGUGGGAAGAAGCAAGAAGGAAUAAGAAUA
rnacentral:lncRNA from 1 species